CAUGACUGCAGAGUCAUGUUGAAACCAGGAUUCUUAUAGUCUCCUUAACUAAAAGCUGGGCCUGCAGUGGAGUGUCAUUCUCCUCAGUCAUUAGAAGGCCUCUCUUUCAGGGUCUGUGACUAUAGACCUAAGCAGUACUGGCAUUUCUAUUACUUGCGUUCCACAUCCUUGUCCUGUGAAUCAACAUUGGCAUCUGUACAGGAAAUAUUUGCUGUGGUCUGAAGAUUAAAACAGAAAGAGAUGGCAAGCAGCAGUCUUUGGAACAGCAACUACUUAAACUUCAAGUAGCGACUGCAGAACCACGAAGAGGCCUGGGUGGAGAACCUUAGAAGUGAACAGCAGGCAAACCCCAUCAAUCUGAGUUGCUGAGGAGUGGAAGCCAGUCCAGGAGAUCCAGAUACAAAUAUCAGAAGAGGAAGUUUGCGAGAAAAGCCUGAGUGACUUUGAAAAUUAAGACAAGAGGAAGAUCCCAGUGUAAACAUGAAGAUCAACAAAGCCUGAUCGAAUAAGCCACUGCAUGUGUCUUCUUUUACACCCAUUUGCUUGUUUAAAUUGAUCAGCAUAUUCUCAUCUCAGAGAAGGACAGAUGGUAUAUCAAAGUCCCCCGUGCAGACUGUGGGUUGGGAGGAGGAAGUAUUCUACAUUUGAGUGGCUAUCUUAAAAGAAGAGCAUCUCGUUUUUGCAAGAAAAACCAAUUUCAUUGUCUGUUUCUUGAAAAAACUUGGGGUUUAUUGAUUUAAACUGCAAACAGUCGUUACAAAAGAGAUUCUUUUAAAUAAACUCACAGAGAAAAAAAGCAAUGUAGUGAACAGUAACAGGGGGGAAAAAAAAUUACAUUCAUUAUUUUCUUUGUGCCAGUCCCGUUCACCUCAACAAGGAAAACUCCAAACUUGGAACACAGAAAGGCAAA